GUCUACAGCCAUGCCACUCUGAACAAACUCGAUCCCAUCUGACCUCGGAAGCUAAGCAGGGUUGGGCCUGGUUAGUACUUGGAUGGGAGACCACCUAGGAAGACCAGGUGCUAUAGGCG
rnacentral:rRNA from 1 species